CAGACUGACAAGGCGCGUGAAAGAAAAACUGCAGAACGCCGAGCGUCUGGACCACGCCGACUGGGGCUGCAUCACGCAAGCUGUAUACGACGAAUACACGGCAACGCACGACAAUCCAACUUCCUGAGCAAGAAGCUGCAGAGUAAGUUUAGAAACGAAAGGAAGAGGUCAACGAGCACGUCUGUUGAAGAAUACAGGCAAGCGUACCACGCGAAACGGCAGAAGUUGAACAUCUCGGCCUUGAAAGGUUAUCGCCCUGACGUGACGAACGAUGCCAUGCAAGAUGAAGUCGCCAUCAACAGGAUGAAGCGGGGCGGCCGGGACGCGACACACAGCA